CAUAGAUACUGGUGAAGGCUUGCCAUGGGAAGUUGCCCAGCUUAGCUUUGGAAGAACCCUGGACCCCCUGGUUCUGCGCAAUGGGGGUGACUGGCUGUCCACAGACUGCAAGAGAGGAGAGGCCCCACGUAUGGUUGAAUCCUGUUUGGAGAGUGACCGCCGUCACAGCACUGGCAGGUCACUACUCACCUGGCACACAGUGAGGAACCUCCUCCCUGUCCUCUGUCUCUUCUCCGGGGCCUGGGGCUGUGCAGAUAUCAGGGGUCAUGGCCGUGGAAAGAGAGCGCACCCCCAGGAUGGACACUCACUCACGGCUUGGUAGAGGACCAGGAAGCCCUUGUGGAGGCCAGUUGUCCUGUCUUCAGAGGAGGCAGGUGCAAGGAA